rnacentral:rRNA from 1 species
ACUCCUACGGGAGGCAGCAGUGGGGAAUAUUGGACAAUGGGCGCAAGCCUGAUCCAGCCAUGCCGCGUGAGUGAUGACGGCCUUAGGGUUGUAAAGCUCUUUCACCCACGACGAUAAUGACGGUAGUGGGAGAAGAAGCCCCGGCUAACUUCGUGCCAGCAGCCGCGGUAAUACGAAGGGGCUAGCGUUGCUCGGAAUCACUGGGCGUAAAGGGCGCGUAGGCGGCCGAUCAAGUCAGGGGUGAAAGCCUGUGGCUCAACCACAGAAUGGCCUUUGAUACUGUUUGGCUUGAGACCGGAAGAGGUUGGUGGAACUGCGAGUGUAGAGGUGAAAUUCGUAGAUAUUCGCAAGAACACCGGUGGCGAAGGCGGCCAACUGGUCCGGUUCUGACGCUGAGGCGCGAAAGCGUGGGGAGCAAACAGGAUUAGAUACCCUGGUAGCUACGAG